AAAGAGCUCGUAGGUGGUUUGUCGCGUUGUUCGUGAAAUCUCACGGCUUAACUGUGAGCGUGCGGGCGAUACGGGCAGACUUGAGUACUGCAGGGGAGACUGGAAUUCCUGGUGUAGCGGUGGAAUGCGCGGAUAUCAGGAGGAACACCGGUGGCGAAGGCGGGUCUCUGGGCAGUAACUGACGCUGAGGAGCGAAAGCGUGGGGAGCGAACAGGAUUAGAUACCCUGGUAGUCCACGCCGUAAACGGUGGGUACUAGGUGUGGGUUUCCUUCCUUGUGAUCCGUGCCGUAGCUAACGCAUUAAGUACCCCGCCUGGGGAGUACGGCCGCAAGGCUAAAACUCAAAGAAAUUGACGGGGGCCCGCACAAGCGGCGGAGCAUGUGGAUUAAUUCGAUGCAACGCGAAGAACCUUACCUGGGUUUGACAUGCACAGGACGCCGGCAGAGAUGUCGGUUCCCUUGUGGCCUGUGUGCAGGUGGUGCAUGGCUGUCGUCAGCUCGUGUCGUGAGAUGUUGGGUUAAGUCCCGCAACGAGCGCAACCCUUGUCUCAUGUUGCCAGCGGGUAAUGCCGGGGACUCGUGAGAGACUGCCGGGGUCAACUCGGAGGAAGGUGGGGAUGACGUCAAGUCAUCAUGCCCCUUAUGUCCAGGGCUUCACACAUGCUACAAUGGCCGGUACAAAGGGCUGCGAUGCCGCGAGGUUAAGCGAAUCCUUUUAAAGCCGGUCUCAGUUCGGAUCGGGGUCUGCAACUCGACCCCGUGAAGUCGGAGUCGCUAGUAAUCGCAGAUC
rnacentral:rRNA from 1 species